rnacentral:lncRNA from 1 species
CAAUGAUGAUGAUGGUAAGAGGAGGCUGGGGACCUACCACCAGCACUUAUUAGGGGGACUCUGGGCAAUGGCCAGAAAGCCCACUAAUUUGAGUAAGUCUCUUCAAGCCUUACAGAUUCUUCAGAGUGAGAUCCAGGCUACAAAACAACAGGCUUGAGAAAAAAAAACCUUUGCAAUGUUCCAGCCCCAUGGUUUCAAGCCAGGAGACCUGGUCCUGAUAUGCUUGGUUUGCUUGCACCGAGGACUUGACUAAAUACAUUCCCAAAUCAAUCUUGGC